rnacentral:rRNA from 1 species
AUGGCCACGUAUUUUGACUCGGACCGUCAGUCGAAGAAAGACUACACAAAUAUCAAGAAAGUUCUUGAUGAUGUUCUCCCCGGCUACGCCAGAUCUGGAGGCACCUUCAGCAGGCCAAUUCGUAGGUAUGGCAGUCAGAAGGAUGCCUACUAUGCCCUCCAUCACAUGCGGGCGAUCGUGCGGGACCAUAAUCACCUUCUGCUACCAAAUAAUCUCAAAGAUUGGGCCACACGCUUGUCGGCAAUCCAGGAUGCGGACAUCAGACAAGAAUUCUAUCGCAUCCAGUCAAAGUUUGCGGAAGUCAUCCAUCAAGAUGUCCUUCAUACCUCGGGGCAGUUCUACCUCAGAUAUCAACCAUCCAACAGUGAGAUAGAAACAACGCUACAAAUGCAGGCUGACAACGCCCGCAAUUUCAUGACCAUCACGAAAGACGGAGGCUUCAUCCACGCUCUGGUCCCUGGGUCGAGUCGAAAGUAG